rnacentral:lncRNA from 1 species
CGCGAUUAAGUAAGCGAUAAAGUCACACAAACAAGUAAUGGUAAAAGCCUAUAAGCAUCCUCAGCAGAGUCAUCAUCCUGUUGACGCCCCCUUUGUCUCGAGGAAAAGACAUACGGUUUGCAACAUUAUGGGUGGAAUGACUCCUUUAUCCCCUUUUCGGAGAAUUUGGACUAUGGAGUUUGGAAAGUCGCCACCUAAUGAUUAUAGUGCAUGAGGACACUUUUAGAGAAAAGAAGAAGGAUUUGAUGGAAAACUAGAGUUUGGGUAAGGGCUUGAGAUUUUCUCGAGGGGAAGGUGUUAGGAACCCCUCAAGAUCCACUAGUGUGGUUCCCGGCUUUGCUUAGUUGUGACUUUAAGAAGAGUAGGAGUAAACAAGCAAAGUUUGCACAUAAGAAAUACAAGCAAGUUGACAAUUGAAAGAAUAAAGGCACAAGUAAG